UACGUAGGAGACGAGCGUUUGUCCGGAAUCACUGGGCGUAAAGAGCUCGUAGGCGGUUUGUCGCGUCUGCUGUGAAAACUGGAGGCUCAACCUCCAGCCUGCAGUGGGUACGGGCAGACUAGAGUGCGGUAGGGGAGAUUGGAAUUCCGUGGUGUAGCGGUGGAAUGCGCAGAUAUCAGGAGGAACACCGAUGGCGAAGGCGGCCUGCUGGGCAGUUGCUGACGCUGAGGCGCGACAGCGGUGGGGAGCAAACAGG
rnacentral:rRNA from 1 species